AAUUCGAUGCAACGCGAAGAACCUACCUGGUCUUGACAUCCCGGAGACCCUUAGGAAACUAGGGGUGCUUCCAUCUGGAAGAAUCUGGAGACAGGUGCUGCAUGGCUGUCGUCAGCUCGUGUCGUGAGAUGUUGGGUUAAGUCCCGCAACGAGCGCAACCCUUGCCUUUAGUUGCCAGCAGUUCGGCUGGGCACUCUAAAGGGACUGCCGGUGUUAAACCGGAGGAAGGUGGGGAUGACGUCAAGUCCUCAUGGCCUUUAUGACCAGGGCUACACACGUACUACAAUGGCCGAUACAAAGGGCAGCGACACUGCGAGGUGAAGCCAAUCCCGUAAAAUCGGUCUCAGUCCGGAUUGGAGUCUGCAACUCGACUCCAUGAAGUUGGAAUCGCUAGUAAUCGUGGAUCAGCAUGCCACGGUGAAUACGUUCCCGGGCCUU
rnacentral:rRNA from 1 species